rnacentral:rRNA from 1 species
UACAGAGGUCCCAAGCGUUGUUCGGAUUCACUGGGCGUAAAGGGUGCGUAGGCGGUCGGGUAAGUCUGACGUGAAAUCUCCAAGCUCAACUUGGAAAUGGCGUCGGAUACUAUUCGGCUCGAGGAAUGGAGGGGAGACUGGAAUUCUCGGUGUAGCAGUGAAAUGCGUAGAUAUGCGGAGGAACACCGAUGGCGAAGGCAGUCCCCUGGGCCUGUACUGACGCUCAUGCACGAAAGCGUGGGGAGCAAACAGG